rnacentral:rRNA from 1 species
GCAUAUCAAUAAGCGGAGGAAAAGAAACCAACAGGGAUUGCCUCAGUAACGGCGAGUGAAGCGGCAAAAGCUCAAAUUUGAAAUCCUUCGGGAGUUGUAAUUUGUAGGUUGGGAGACCCCGCGGCUAGUGGCACCAAGUCCCUUGGAACAGGGCGCCUUAGAGGGUGAGAGCCCCGUAGGUACCACAACACCGUCUUGUGUCUCCUCUCCAAAGAGUCGAGUUGUUUGGGAAUGCAGCUCAAAGUGGGUGGUAAAUUCCAUCUAAAGCUAAAUACCGGCGAGAGACCGAUAGCGAACAAGUACAGUGAUGGAAAGAUGAAAAGCACUUUGAAAAGAGAGUGAAACAGUACGUGAAAUUGUUGAAAGGGAAGGGCUUGCAAGCAGACACGGCCUUCGUGCCGGGCCAGCAUCGGUUGCUAGGGGUGGAUAAGGAACAAGGAAUGUAGCUCCUCGGAGUAUUAUAGCCUUGCGCGAUACACCCACUGGCGACCGAGGCCUGCGGUAUUCUUUACCUAGGAUGCUGGCGUAAUGGUUGCAAGCCGCCCGUCUUGAAACACGGACC